AUGAAAUCUCUGUGGCUUUUCCUUUCCCUGUUAUCGGCCCCGACCUGUGUCCUCUCUCAGGUGCAGCUGGUCGAGUCCGGCCCGGGCGUCGUGAAGCCCGGACAGACCCUCACCCUGACCUGUGCUGUCUCCGGGGUCUCUAUCACUAGCAGCAGCUACGUGUGGAACUGGGUCCGGCAGCCCACCAGGAAAGGGCUGGAGUGGGUAGCACGUAUAUACCCACACGACGGGAGAAAGUGGUUUGCCGCGUCUCUCCAAAGCCGGACCACCAUCUCUUCAGAUACCUCCAAGAACCAGUUCUCCCUGCAGCUGGCCUCCCUCGCAGCUGCAGACACCGCCAUGUAUUACUGUGCCAGAGACACAGGUAUCACUGGUUUGAACCCUAAAGGACAAGGUUUAAUAUCCGUGCCAACCCCCCGCCCCCGCCCAAGGGGACCCCCGUCCGAAGGGGACAUGGCCAUGUACUGA